GAAGACCUCUUCCUUCGGAAAUGGGAAGGACAUAUUGUUAGGAAACUACUGAAAGUGGCUGCACUUGAAAAAUUACCCUGAUGUCCUGCCAGCUGGUGAGGAGAGUGAUGAGUCACUUUGCUUCAGAGCCCUUCAGAUGCUCACACACUAUUUACCUCCGACUGUGUCAGGGAGGGCCAAAGGAUGGACCAAAUGCAGUGUGAAAUCAGCCCUUUCGUACAUCGUGGACAUAAAACCGACUGGUACGAGCAUCCCCAGCCUUCUUGAGGGAUCUCCUGAGGGAGCAGUGGGAGUCCCCCAGCCCAAGCUUGUGUGUUUAGGACACCCCCGGACAACAGCUCAGUACAUCAUCAUUGCCAAGAACGACAAAGUCGCCAUCCCUCUUCAAGAUGAGGGUUUGACGUGCGCUAUUGACAAAUUGUUCAAAGUUUUCUGGGUUUGCAACAUGGCAUAUCCUGCCCAACUCGAAUCUGUCUAUGGUUUCUUUGAGCAUGUUUAUGACAUGCGCAUGUCAUGUGGGAAGAGAUCAAAAGUUGUGGAGUUUAUCGCAAAGCCUCAGGCAGUGCUGUAGGUUGUACCACCAUGUACACUUGUCCCAAGUGCAAGAAAUCAAUUUCAAAACAAGUAAGGAGUGUUGUCAAUGUUUGUUGUAAUCCAGCAAACUUCUAUCAUAAACUUUAGAAAACGUAAUAUUGUCAAAACAUAAUACAGUGUAGUUAUAGAUAAGAACAAAACAAGAGUACAUACCCACGAUGCAACCAUGAGGCAUAUGAUGUGUGCAGAUAGAGCUGGAUUAAUCAGAUACAAACAAACAUAACCUCUCAGUGCCAUGCUUCCUGACUUCCUAAUUACUGAUCACAUGACAACAAAUGUCCUGUUACUGACAUCCUCUAAUUGUUAAAGUGACCACAACAUACUUCAGGAACCCCUUUAGAAAACACAUAAGAGUUCUAAUGCACUAACAUAACUGUAACAGAACAGUACUGUUCCAACAAAAAUAAGAAUUUACAAUUUCUCUAAAAUGAAAUUAAUCAGCAUCCAUUAUUGUUUCUUCCAUACAUUUUCAAAAUCUGACUUUGCUUUUGAUUUUUUAUUCUAGAGGCUUUUUAAGCUCAUAACUGGAAAGGGACAUUGUUGAUACUAUUGUGAAAAAUAUUCAUAGUUCAUUUAAUGGAAUAUGAAAAAUAAUUUGAUGGGAGUGUAAGUAACCCAAUUUGUGUUUUGGCUUUGGAAACUGUUGAAAAAUAUGUAGGAUUAGGUUCUAAUGUAAUGUAUUAAUAUAAUAUACUAAUAUAUUUAUUUUCUCCUCCACAUAUCUACCUCUUUUUUUAAGAUAGGGUGUAGACCUGUGUUUCCAGAGUUUACAUGUUGUUAUGACCACAGAUACUUGACUGAUUGAAGUUACCUGUCAUUUGACUGUAAUAUGCUGAAGCGAUAACGCCCCUUGUUGGUGUUUUCUAUAAUGUGAAGGAGAUGGUUCAAUGUAUCAUUUCUGUUUUAGC